rnacentral:lncRNA from 1 species
CAUAGUAUGGAAGUCCUGGCCAGAACAAUUAGGCCAGAAAAAGAAAAGUUAUUCAAAUUGGAGAUGAAUAAAAACCACCUCCCAGAAAACAUAUCUUAUAUGAAGAAAAUACUUAAAAUUCCACAGAAAACCCUGUUAGACCAAUAAGCAAUGUUGCAGAUACUCCAAAUCCGUUACAUUUCUGCACACCAGAAAUAACCAGUCUGAAGGUCAUAGUAUGAUUAUCUGACUGUAUACCAAAAAUUGCAUGAGUGCUGUGCAAUUGAAAGCCACCAAGGCUUGCCACUGUUGCCGGGACUUGCAGGGUGCCCGUGAAGGAGUUAACUGACACUCCAGGGGCCAUUACAUCUCAGCAACAAAGAGAACAUGUCACCACCUAUUAAGUUUGUACAAGAGUUGGGUGGGAUGAAGCCUGGGUGGACAGGAGCCAAAGCCUGAGGAAUUCUAAUAUUUUCAACAUUUUUUAUUUCACUGUAUUGUCUUCUGAGUUGACUGUGGUCAGAUACCUGCCCCCCCCCCCAUUAUUUGAUAUUGAUAUCCAGUUUUAUGUUUUUAAAAUGUUUAUUUGGAUUUAUUCUUGAUUUUUUUUUCUAAUUUUUUUACUCUGUCCUUUUGGGAGAGACUCAGAAUUUAUGAGUAUGAAGUUUGAAUCCUGAAUCUUUGAGCCUUGAUAUCCUUUCUUCUGCUUGAUCUAGUCUAAUGGUGACACUUGAUUACAUUUGAAUUACUAGUUUUUGUUUUUUUUAUUUCUAAGGUUUCUAUUUGUUUCUUUUUCAGAGUAUCGAAGUAUUCUUUCACUUCCUGUUUUUUUCUUCCCUUUAUUCUUCUUUUAAUUCAUUGACUGCUUUGAUCAUCAGCUUUUAAAAUUCUUUGUCCAGCACUUCGUCUUCAAUAUCUCUGGGUUCAAUUACUGGGAAGUUAAAAACCUUUGGAAGGAUCUUAUUACCUUGUUUUCUGUGUUUCUUUGUUGAGAUUUGUGUAUCU